rnacentral:rRNA from 1 species
UACGUAGGGAGCAAGCGUUGUCCGGAAUCAUUGGGCGUAAAGCGCGCGUAGGCGGCCCUGUAAGUCCGUUGUGAAAGUCAAAGGCUCAACCUUUUGAAAGCCGAUGGAUACUGCAGGGCUAGAGUCCGGAAGAGGCGAGUGGAAUUCCUGGUGUAGCGGUGGAAUGCGCAGAUAUCAGGAGGAACACCGAUUGCGAAGGCAGCUCGCUGGGACGUAACUGACGCUGGAGGCGCGAAAGCUAGGGGAGCAAACAGG